UACAGAAGGUGCUAGCGUUAAUCGGAUGUAUUGGGCGUAAAGGGCGCGUAGGCGGUAAAGCAAGUAAGAUGUGAAAGCCCUGGGCUUAACCUGGGAAGUGCAUCUUAAACUGCUUAACUAGAGUAUGGUAGAGGGUAGUGGAAUUUCCGGUGUAGCGGUGAAAUGCGUAGAUAUCGGAAGGAACGCCAGUGGUGAAGACGACUACCUGGACCAAUACUGACACUGAGGCGCGAGAGCGUGGGGAGCAAACAGG
rnacentral:rRNA from 1 species